rnacentral:sRNA from 1 species
GCCGGGCAUGGUGGCUCACGUCUGUAAUCCCAGUGGCUUGGGAGGCUGAGGCAGGAGGAUUUCGAGUUCAAAGCCAGCCUCAGCAAAAGUGAGGUGCUAAGCAACUCAGUGAGACCCUGUCUCUA